rnacentral:rRNA from 1 species
GUGAGGAAUAUUGGUCAAUGGGCGAGAGCCUGAACCAGCCAAGUCGCGUGAAGGAUGAAGGUUUUAUGAAUUGUAAACUUCUUUUGCAGGGGAAUAAAGUACGGUACGUGUACCGUUUUGUAUGUACUCUGCGAAUAAGGAUCGGCUAACUCCGUGCCAGCAGCCGCGGUAAUACGGAGGAUCCAAGCGUUAUCCGGAUUUAUUGGGUUUAAAGGGUGCGCAGGCGGGUUGAUAAGUCAGCGGUGAAAGUUUGCAGCUUAACUGUAAAAUUGCCGUUGAAACUGUCGAUCUUGAGUGCAAAUGAGGUAAGCGGAAUGUGUUGUGUAGCGGUGAAAUGCUUAGAUAUAACACAGAACACCGAUUGCGAAGGCAGCUUACUGGGAUGCAACUGACACUGAUGCACGAAAGCGUGGGUAUCAAACAGGAUUAGAUACCCUAGUAGUCC